AAUAGCUGGCUAGCUAACCUCGGUAAAUUAAGAUAAUCACUCUAAGACUACACACUCUAAACUACACAAUUAUCUUGGAUACGAAGACAGCAAAGACAACUAUGUAGCUAGCUAAUACUACACUAAUCAAGUCGUUCAGUUGAGUGUGAUAGUUACUACAGUGCUACGGUAGCCGGUGAACGUAUGCUAGCUGGCUAGCUGCUAGGCAGAUAGGAGGACGACGAAAUACGAUAAUUACGCAAUUAUCUUUGAUACAACGACGGCUAUGUAGCUAGCUAAGAAGAAAUUGCUAAGAUUAGACAAAUCAGACCGUUGUACUAUAAUGAAAUGUAAUGAAAAAGUUAUACAACCUGCAGACCGAAGGAGACCGAAGCGCGGAUGCGACCGGCUCGCUCCAACCCGACAAAAACUAGACUACUAGUUGGUGAAUCCCUAUCACCCACAGUGUCACCAUCAAGAAUACAUCAAGAGUAUUCUACAACACCAGGAAGGACACUCUUUAGUAUGACCCCUAGACCCACUCCAAUUUGCACACUGACCCAACAGAUCUACAGAUGAAGCAAUCGUACUCCACACUGCCCUUUUCCACCUGGACAAAAGGAACGCCUAUGUGAGAUUGCUGUUCAUUGACUACAGUUCAGUGAUCAACACCAUAGUGCCCACAAAGCUCAUCACUAACUAAGAAUCCUGGGACUAAACACCUUCCUCUGCAACUCGAUCCUGGACAUGGUAAGGGUAAGCAACAGCACAUCUGCCACGCUAAUCCUCAACACGGAGGCCCCUCAGGGGUGCGUGCUUAGUCCUCUAUUGUACUCCCUGUUCACCCACGACUGCAGGGCCAAGCAUGACUCCAACACCAUCAAUAAGUUUUCUGACGACAAAGCGGUGGUAGGCCUCCUCACCGACAACGAUGAGACAGCCUAUAGGGAGGAGGUCAGAGACCUGGCAAUGUGGUGCCAGGACAACAACCUUUCCCUCAACGUGAGCAAGACAAAGGAGAUGAUUGUGGACUACAGGAAAAAGAGGGCCAAACACGCCCCCAUUCACAUCAACGGGGCUGUAGUGGAGCAUGUCGAGAGUUUCAAUUUCCGUGGUGUCCACCACCAACAAACUAUCAUGGUCCAAACACACCAAGAAAGUCAUGAAGAGGGCACGACAAAGCCUUUUCCCCCUCAGGGGACUGAAAAGAUUUUGCAUGGGUCCCCAGAUCCUCAAAAAGUUCUACAGCUGCACUAUCGAGAGCAUCCUGACUGGUUGCAUCACUGCCUGGUAUGGCAACUGCUCGGCAUCAGACCAUAAGGCGCUACAGAGGGUAGUGCGUACAGCCCAGUCCAUCACUGGGGCCAAGCUUCCUGCCAUCCAGGACCUAUACUAUGUGGUGUCAGAUGAAGGCCCAAAAAAUGUUCAAAGACUCUAGUCACCCAAGUCCUAGACUGUUCUCUCUGCUACCGCACGGCAAUCGGUACCGGAGCAUAAAGCGUCAUUAUUGUAAUUUUUAUUUAUUUUUUAUAUAUAUUUUUUUUACUUGAUUUAAUAUUUUCUUAACUCUUUUUUUCACAAAACUGCAGUUUUAGUUAACGGUAAGGUGUUGUAUUCAGUGCAUGUGACAAAUACAAUUUGAUUUGAUCUGAGGUAUGUGAAACUCAAUCAUAAUAAUAGUAAAUACACUAAUGUUAUUAUAAGAAUAAUCAUUAUUAUAUUAAUAGGCCUAAUUUAACAUUAUGUUCGGAUCUUCUUCAUCACCUCAUGAGUAGGCAUAGGCCAAUGAUAAUGUAGGCCUAUAAUCUGUGUCAACAUGUACCCUUCAGACAUUUUCUUCAAAAAAUGUAAUACAAUGUUAUGUAUGCUUAAUUAGCACCUUGUUUAUCACUCUAAACUUCUAUCCUAUUUAUAUAUUUUCUUCCACUGCCAUUGACACACUAUGGAAAUAUGUUUAGCUUACUGUCAAGCACUUGGCUACCAAACAAACACUCAAAGUGCUAAAACCUUUCUCUGUGAACCAUUACAAGUUUCUGUAUCCUAUUUAAGGCACCAUUUCAAGGUGAAAGACAACAGAUAUAAAGAAUAUAGCUCAGAGCAUGGUCUCUAACCAAUCCCCUUUCAUUAGCAGGUUGUGGGAAUGUUGGCACUUAACUCAUCUGGCCACAAGCUGAACAGAUAAAUGGUGACUGGUUGUUGUAGCCUGACAGAGAACCAAUGUGGGUCAGUAACACAUUCACAGGUACACUGCUGCCAUGACGUGAAACACAGAACCCUGUUUGUGAUCUCUCUCACUGUCGAUCGACCUCCACCAAACCCACUCAGGUACACAAAUGAUCUACGACAGGAAGUUCCUCCUGGAGUGUCAAACCUCCCCUCUGACAUGCACCCCUCCCUGUCUUCCCGAUAUUCCAGGGGUAACCAAACCCCUCUCAAACAACACUACGACUGACACAGCCCACCCCAAACAGACCCCCAACAACCACAAUCCCCAGCGGACAACAGCGCAUGUAAGAGUCUACAGGGGAGGAUGCUCAAUUUGAAAUGGACAUUUAGCCAUUUGAUGGAUCUGCUGGAUCUGCAGCCUUGAGGAUGACAAUGAAAGAGGGACUCAUGUUUAAACUCAUGUCUUUUUGGAAACAGCACAGCAUACUGAAAUGAAUGAAGACUGCAUUAUUGAAGUGCUGCAUUAUUAUGUGCAGUCAUAAUUCUAAUCGCUCAGGAAGACAAAAAAAUGUACAUACAAUCUCUCCUCUAUUGAUUUAAUAUUAUUUACUAAUUGUUAGUUAUUAUCCUGUCUUAAAGAUGAAGCAUUUGAAUGAUAUGUUUGAGUCUUCUCCAGUAGAAUUUUGUAAGCAUACCAUUCUUUGUCUGGUUCUUCGUUAAGUUGUAGUCGUGUAAUACAUUGUUGAUUGUAAAACUAGGGCUACAUUUUGAAGAAUUAUUCUUCUCCAGAGGAACUAAUAAAAGACAAACAUACUUUUUA